rnacentral:rRNA from 1 species
AAUUUUGGACAAUGGGGGCAACCCUGAUCCAGCCAUCCCGCGUGUGCGAUGAAGGCCUUCGGGUUGUAAAGCACUUUUGGCAGGGAAGAAAAGGCGCGGGUUACUACCCUUUGCCGCUGACGGUACCUGCAGAAUAAGCACCGGCUAACUACGUGCCAGCAGCCGCGGUAAUACGUAGGUGUCAAUCGUUAAUCGGAAUUACUGGGCGUAAAGCGUGCGUCGACGGUUUGGCAAGAAAGGCGUGAAAUCCCAGGGAUUAACCUUGAAACUGCACUUUUAACUGCCAGGCUAGAGUAUGUCAGAGGAGGGUAGAAUUCCGCGUGUAGCAGUGAAAUGCGUAGAGAUGCGGAGGAAUACCGAUGGCGAAGGCAGCCCCCUGGGAUAAUACUGACGCUCAGGCACGAAAGCGUGGGGAGCAAAC